CUGAAUUAGGACCUGGCGUAGACGUCUGGGCUCAUGGCUUGAAUGAAGGCUAUGUAGUCACAGGAGCCAUGGGGUAUCCCUGCUUGGCCCUGCAAGCCAGAACAAUGGAAGCCACUCUGGAGAGAGAGAGACAGAGAUGAAAACAGAUGGAAAAGCAGCGAGAAGCCACGGGAGUGAGCUGCCUGCAUUCCCCGCUCUCCAGACCCGGGUUCUGGAUCCAGCCUCACCUCCUGCCAUAGUUUCCGAGAGGUAUCCCAGUCUCCUUUCAACUCAGUGUCUUCCUUUUUGCUUACUUGAUUGGGUUUCUAUUACGUGCAUCCAGAAUAGUUUCCACUAAGGCAGUGAUUCACAGUUUACUGAACGCUUUCACAUGUUAUCCUGUUUGGAUUUUGCUUCGCACGCUACUCCAGGGAGAAGGCAAGGGAGGCAUCAUCAUCAUCUGCAUUUUAUGGUCAAAGACGUCCAGGCAAUGACUGCUCAAGGUCUCCUAGGCAGGGAGGCAGGUCUUUGACCCAGACACAGCAUCAUCUCCACUGCACCACACCCUCUUGACAUUGGAGGUGUACUUCCAGGAAAAGGGACUCUGGCGCCAAGGUAUAAUUGGAAGAGAGAUGCUGCAUUCCUAAGCACAAGCGCAUAUUUCAAGGGGAAAAUAGGAGCUUCAGCUUGAUAAUUCAUGCCACAGCUUUCAUGAGACUGACUCUGUAAACAAAGUGUAUUGAGAACGGGAAACCAGGCGUGGAAUUUGUGGUGGAGAAUACUCCCCCUUAUAAAAAUAUGUGAAGCUUAUAAUAUCAUAUUAUUUUAGCAUUUGUCAUACUUCUUUCUCUCUUUCUCGAGGGCACCAGUGAACAAUGGACAGGCUCAAACUGGAAGGCAAGACCUGAUCAUAUGACCUGAUCAUAUGUGAGUUUCUGUCUGCACCCAAGUCUCUAGGACACAGAGGGAACAUCUUGCUUCUGGGACAUUCCUCAGGUGCUGAGCUCCCCUGCCUGAAGGGAGCUGCUUGAGGACUGAGCUGUGCAUCUUCAUUCUGGACCCUGGUCUUUGCUACAGGGGCUCAGUGAUGUCUGCAGAGUGGCCUUGGGGGCCCCUACAUUGUCUGGCCCAGAUGCAAGCGCCUGCUGAUGUUCCACAAGGAAUCUCUCCCCAGACCAAUGUUAGGUUUGGAUGUUUUCUUCUUUCUCGUCAUCUCCUUUGCUUCCUGUUACUUUUUACCCUCCUAAAAAGUGUGAAGAAAGAACCUGCUGAAAAUUCCAUCUGAUUGGGUCUAAUAAGAGCUCAGCAUUUGAUGCUUUCCCCCAUGGCUGGUGGGGGAAAGUUUGCUCCUGAACAGUGUUAAGUUCUGGACCCUUACUUCUGUGUUCUAGGAGGGCAACCCCCUUCCCCACCCACCCAGUAAUCCACUCAGAGGGAAGAGAAGGAAGGAUGAAUGGCUUUUCAGAAGAGAAAGCACAGUUCUCAAGUGGAGCCUUGGGUCUCUCUGCAUAGGACUGACUGACGAGCCUAUCUGGAGAGCUCCUACUAAGCCCAGUCUCCUGUCUCCUCCACCACCAAAAGGCAUCCUUUGGUGAUGUCAUUACUGUCAUUCACCGUGAAUAUGGACAAUCAACAGCCAAGGAUCUUUUGUGUAAUUAAAUGUACUAGCUUGACAGCUCCCAAAUGAGGGGGUAAUAGUUACUGGAUGUAAAGUGGCUUUUCUCUAAUCCUGAGUGACGGCAUGCUGUUGCUAGGUGCCUGUUUUUCUGCCUUUCAAAUACAAAGUGACUAAUGGGGUAUAUUUCAUAACACAUCUGCAAGUAUGUAGUUCUUCUUAUACUUCGAUGCCCUUUAAAAUAUUAUUAUCUGCCAACAUUUGGACUAUGUGCUUAUAUGCAAAUUAGACAUAAUAAAGGAAGAAGGGAGAAGUUCUUUGCUCUUGAAAAAUCAUAUUUAUAAGGUUAACGAGAUUUAUAUAUUACAUCAGGGAACUGGGGUUAGAAUGCAAAACUUUAUCAAUGUAACUUGGCAACAAUAAAGAUCCUCUGGUGUUUUCCCCUGUAUGAGAUCAAAACUUUUUAUCUACACUGAGGUUUAAUU
rnacentral:lncRNA from 1 species